AACGAACGCUGGCGGCAUGCCUAACACAUGCAAGUCGAACGAUGCCUUCGGGCAUAGUGGCGCACGGGUGAGUAACACGUGGGAACCUGCCUUGUGGUUCGGAAUAACGUCUGGAAACGGACGCUAAUACCGGAUGAGCCCUUUGGGGGAAAGAUUUAUCGCCACAAGAGGGGCCCGCGUCCGAUUAGGUCGUUGGUGGGGUAAUGGCCUACCAAGCCUGCGAUCGGUAGCUGGUCUGAGAGGAUGAUCAGCCACACUGGGACUGAGACACGGCCCAGACUCCUACGGGAGGCAGCAGUGGGGAAUAUUGGACAAUGGGCGCAAGCCUGAUCCAGCAAUGCCGCGUGAGUGAUGAAGGCCUUAGGGUUGUAAAGCUCUUUCGUCCACGACGAUGAUGACGGUAGUGGAAGAAGAAGCCCCGGCUAACUUCGUGCCAGCCGCCGCGGUAA
rnacentral:rRNA from 1 species